ensembl:lncRNA MUC20-OT1 MUC20 overlapping transcript
GCAGCUGCUCCCAACCCCAGAACCUUUGCUGUCUUGGGACGGAUCACCGCUGCAAGAGGGGAAGUUGCUACUGUGAUGAAUUCUGCCAUGUGGCACCAGACUGCCACCCAGACCACAGUGUCCUCUGCAACCCUGGUCAAAGGUGCCUACAUGCUCCUUCUAGCUUUGUUUCCCUGAUGUUCCUUGCCACCUGCUACUCCUCUCUGAGCUACUUUUCCAGCUUCUCAGAUGACCAAGAUGGUGCUGCAGAUGGUGCUGAGGAUGGAGAACCCACCAAGCCCCGCUAGGAGCCACCUAGACUGGAUGCAGAGCAUGGUUCAGCGAGUUCUCCAAACCAGCCUCCCAGGAAUGCCAUUCACCAUGGCUGUGAGGAGAAUAAAGAAGAGAGCCUGACUCCUCUUCUGAGGCCCCUUCCCCACCCUGAGCCAGCA